GAUGAUAUUUUUCCCUUCCACAAGAUUUGCGCUGCCGACCCUGGACAGACCACUUGCAGCGGCGAUUCUGGGGGUCCGCUGGUAACGAAAGAAACGGGAUUUGGCUGUUGCUCGGAGUAACGAGUUUUGGUCCAGAAAACUGCACGAUAGUUGCUCCUGUCGUGUUCGCCCGUGUCUCUGCCUACAGUAAGUGGAUCCUAAACGAGGUUUCAUCAGGAUCUUGUUAAUGAUUCAGAAAUCCUGGCGAUGUAUCGUGACGUUUUGAAGACGAAAAUCACAACUUUGAUGCGACGUUAACCGAUUAUCAUUGCUCAGAUGAAAAUGUAUGAUAAUGCAAGAUAAACUGGUAGAUAAUUGAUAAUAACUGGUAGGUGAUAAAUGAAUUUACAAGCCAUUGUCAUUGUAAAAUUCAAUCCACUGGUUUCUAAGUGCUAGUAAAAAAUUCUUGAUCUUGGUUUGCAAGGACUUGACAAACACAUCGCAAGUCAAUUUGAAGGAGAAUAAGGAGAGGGAUAUCAAUCAUCUCAUUAUUUGCCGAGGUCAUCAUCCCUUGUCAUCACUGUGUCAAGUUUUAGAUAAUGACCGAUGUGUAUGAUGGUUUGUUGAUGUUACCAGUAAUUAUACAUACAAAGAAAAAGACAAAG